UGGAAGUAAAAAGUCGUAACAAGGUCUCCGUUGGUGAACCAGCGGAGGGAUCAUUACCGAGUUUACAACUCCCAAACCCCUGUGAACAUACCAAUUGUUGCCUCGGCGGAUCAGCCCGCUCCCGGUAAAACGGGACGGCCCGCCAGAGGACCCCUAAACUCUGUUUCUAUAUGUAACUUCUGAGUAAAACCAUAAAUAAAUCAAAACUUUCAACAACGGAUCUCUUGGUUCUGGCAUCGAUGAAGAACGCAGCAAAAUGCGAUAAGUAAUGUGAAUUGCAGAAUUCAGUGAAUCAUCGAAUCUUUGAACGCACAUUGCGCCCGCCAGUAUUCUGGCGGGCAUGCCUGUUCGAGCGUCAUUUCAACCCUCAAGCCCUCGGGUUUGGUGUUGGGGAUCGGCGAGCCCUUGCGGCAAGCCGGCCCCGAAAUCUAGUGGCGGUCUCGCUGCAGCUUCCAUUGCGUAGUAGUAAAACCCUCGCAACUGGUACGCGGCGCGGCCAAGCCGUUAAACCCCCAACUUCUGAAUGUUGACCUCGGAUCAGGUAGGAAUACCCGCUGAACUUAAGCAUAUCAAUAAGCGGAGGAA
rnacentral:rRNA from 1 species